GCCUUGCUGGCUCAGUUGGUAGAGCAUGUGACUUGAUCUCAGGGUCAUGAGUUUAAUACCCAUUCUGGGCA
rnacentral:tRNA from 1 species